rnacentral:rRNA from 1 species
AGAGUUUGAUCCUGGCUCAGGACGAACGCUGGCGGCGUGCCUAAUACAUGCAAGUCGAGCGGAAUGAUGAAGAAGCUUGCUUCUUCUGAUUUUAGCGGCGGACGGGUGAGUAACACGUGGGCAACCUACCUUGUAGAUUGGGAUAACUCCGGGAAACCGGGGCUAAUACCGAAUAAUCCAUUUUGCUUCAUGGCAAGAUGUUGAAAGGCGGCUUCGGCUGUCACUACGAGAUGGGCCCGCGGCGUAUUAGCUAGUUGGUAGGGUAAUGGCCUACCAAGGCGACGAUACGUAGCCGACCUGAGAGGGUGAUCGGCCACACUGGGACUGAGACACGGCCCAGACUCCUACGGGAGGCAGCAGUGGGGAAUAUUGCACAAUGGGCGCAAGCCUGAUGCAGCGACGCCGCGUGAGGGAUGACGGCCUUCGGGUUGUAAACCUCUUUCAGUAGGGAAGAAGCGAAAGUGACGGUACCUGCAGAAGAAGCGCCGGCUAACUACGUGCCAGCAGCCGCGGUAAUACGUAGGGCGCAAGCGUUAUCCGGAAUUAUUGGGCGUAAAGAGCUCGUAGGCGGUUUGUCGCGUCUGCCGUGAAAGUCCGGGGCUCAACUCCGGAUCUGCGGUGGGUACGGGCAGACUAGAGUGAUGUAGGGGAGACUGGAAUUCCUGGUGUAGCGGUGAAAUGCGCAGAUAUCAGGAGGAACACCGAUGGCGAAGCAGGUCUCUGGGCAUUAACUGACGCUGAGGAGCGAAAGCAUGGGGAGCGAACAGGAUUAGAUACCCUGGUAGUCCAUGCCGUAAACGUUGGGCACUAGGUGUGGGGGACAUUCCACGUUUUCCGCGCCGUAGCUAACGCAUUAAGUGCCCCGCCUGGGGAGUACGGCCGCAAGGCUAAAACUCAAAGGAAUUGACGGGGGCCCGCACAAGCGGCGGAGCAUGCGGAUUAAUUCGAUGCAACGCGAAGAACCUUACCAAGGCUUGACAUGGACCGGACUGCUGCAGAGAUGUGGUUUCCCCUUUGGGGCCGGUUCACAGGUGGUGCAUGGUUGUCGUCAGCUCGUGUCGUGAGAUGUUGGGCUAAGUCCCGCAACGAGCGCAACCCUCGUUCUAUGUUGCCAGCGCGUGAUGGCGGGGACUCAUAGGAGACUGCCGGGGUCAACUCGGAGGAAGGUGGGGACGACGUCAAAUCAUCAUGCCCCUUAUGUCUUGGGCUUCACGCAUGCUACAAUGGCCGGUACAAAGGGUUGCGAUACUGUGAGGUGGAGCUAAUCCCAAAAAGCCGGUCUCAGUUCGGAUUGGGGUCUGCAACUCGACCCCAUGAAGUCGGAGUCGCUAGUAAUCGCAGAUCAGCAACGCUGCGGUGAAUACGUUCCCGGGCCUUGUACACACCGCCCGUCAAGUCACGAAAGUUGGUAACACCCGAAGCCGGUGGCCUAACCCCUUGUGGGAGGGAGCUGUCGAAGGUGGGACUGGCGAUUGGGACUAAGUCGUAACAAGGUAACCGUAA